CGUCUAUAUACGUAUAGCAUAUCAAUAAGCGGAGGAAAAGAAACUAACUAGGAUUCCCUUAGUAACGGCGAGUGAAGCGGGAAGAGCUCAAAUUUGAAAUCUUCAAGGUUCUACCUUGACGAAUUGUAGUUUAAAGAAGUGUUUUCUGCUGGAGUUUUGGUAAAAGUUCUUUGGAAUAGGACAUCAUAGAGGGUGAGAAUCCCGUAUUUGACCAUUAUUUCCAACUUUGUGAUACACUUUCAAAGAGUCGGAUUGUUUGGGAAUGCAGUCCAAAAUGGGUGGUAAAUUUCAUCUAAAGCUAAAUACUGGCGAGAGACCGAUAGCGAACAAGUACCGUGAGGGAAAGAUGAAAAGAACUUUGAAAAGAGAGUUAAACAGUACGUGAAAUUGUCAAAAGGGAAGCGUUUGACACCAGUGUUGUUUUCUCGAAAAUCAAUUAAAAAUGGCGGGAUUUUGUGUUGUAUUGACUUUAUCAGCUUUCUGCACUUUUUUCCUAUCUUUUUUAAUGCACUUUUCGUUUAACAAGUCAACAUCAAUUUCUUUUGUUGUAAAAGAGUCAUUGGAAGGUGGCUUUCCUUUCGGAUGAAAGUGUUUAUAGCCUUUGACUUCUGCAAUCGGAGAGAUUGAGGUCUGCAGCGUAGAUCCUUCGGGGUUAGAUAGCAUUUGUGCUAAGUUAUAGCCUUUCAUAGACAACUUGUUGACUAUGAUCAGUCAUGUAGCUUACUCGCUUAUGCUAUUUUACCUACGCUUAGGAUGUUGAUCUGUAGUGCGUGCGC
rnacentral:rRNA from 1 species